rnacentral:rRNA from 1 species
UACGAAGGGGGCUAGCGUUGUUCGGAGUUACUGGGCGUAAAGGGCGCGUAGGCGGCGCACCAAGUCAGGCGUGAAAGCCCUGGGCUCAACCCGGGAAUUGCGCUUGAGACUGGUGUGCUUGAGUACGGGAGAGGAUAGUGGAAUUCCCAGUGUAGAGGUGAAAUUCGUAGAUAUUGGGAAGAACACCGGUGGCGAAGGCGGCUAUCUGGACCGUAACUGACGCUGAGGCGCGAAAGCUAGGGGAGCAAACGGG